UACGUAGGGGGCUAGCGUUGUCCGGAAUUAUUGGGCGUAAAGAGCGUGUAGGCGGUUCGGUAAGUCUGCCGUGAAAACCUGGGGCUCAACCCCGGGCGUGCGGUGGAUACUGCCGGGCUAGAGGGUGGUAGAGGCGAGUGGAAUUCCCGGUGUAGCGGUGAAAUGCGCAGAUAUCGGGAGGAACACCAGUAGCGAAGGCAGCUCGCUGGGACGUUACUGACGCUGAGACGCGAAAGCGUGGGGAGCAAACAGG
rnacentral:rRNA from 1 species